CCCUUUGGCUUGCUCCUUGCUCACGGCACCACCACCAACGACCCGAGCCACCCUCGCUGCCACCAUCGACAGCCGCCACCGCCGCUGCCGCGCCAUCUCCGACCGCCGUCCAACCACUCUUCAUUCUUUCUUUUGGUGGAGAAUUCUCCGUAGGCGACUUUUGAAUUAUUAAAGUGGUCUUGCAGUUUGUUUACACAAGUCUCUAAGGAUCAAUAAGCGUUGCCCAUCUACAGGUUUGAAGAUGAUGCAUCAUUGGG